CAGUACGUAGUUCAACUCACUCUUUCUUUCUCUCUCCAUAUAUAUAAUUAUAUAUAGAGUUCGGCUUAUUAUAUUAUCGAUAGUAUCAAACUUUUGAUAUUAUUGAGUUUUUUAUAUUAAUCAUUUUCAUCUAUUAGAUUAUACUAAUCAAUUAACCACCUACUCAAUUUUAGGAAACCGUUAUUAUCUUAAACGCACAUCCUUUCAUCCAACGGCCGAAAACUCGAUAGCACCAAGCACUUGGUACUAUUGAUAGUAUAGUAGCAUGCAUAAUUAUAUAUAUGUAUAUAUACCUCAAGUGCUUUCGAAAGCACAGAGAUCUCUAUACUUUUAAAUUAUUUUGGAUAAUGGGACAUUCGAUUCGACGAUCGGCUCUUUAUAUAUGAUCUACAUUAUUAGAAUUAUUAAUUUAGAAAUCAAAAUUUAUAAUUAUUUAAUAUUAUUUGCUAAAUGAUCAAUAGUCUAAAAAAUAACUACUUUAGAAACCGGUGUGACAUGUUUGUAAAUUCAACGGUAUAGAAUAAUCCAAAUUAGGUGAAAUUUUAAUAAAAAAAUUAUGCGUACCAUUAAAAGAAAGAUCGAUACCUUCAAUUUAUAAUUUAAAUUUUUUAUCACUAUUUUUUGCGAGAUUUUUAUUUCAGUCGUUCAUUUUAAGGUAUUCAUUUACUAGACAAAUAAAGUUUAAAAAAUUAUAAAAUUUGAGUUUUAUAUAAUUGCAACACUAUAAAUUAUGUUUAAUAAAAUCGAUUGCCAAAUCAGAUGUCCCAUUAUCGAAUAUAACUUGAAAGUAAGAAGAUCUUCGUAUUUAAAAAAAUAUAGUAGCCUAUGUGUGUGUGUGUGUGUGUGUGUGUGUGUGUGUGUGUGUGUGUGUGAGUGAGAGAGAGAGAGAGAGAGAGAGAGAGAGAGAGAGAGAGAGAGGAGGGAAAAAGUAUGGAGAAAAUGUAAAGCGUGUAU
rnacentral:lncRNA from 1 species